rnacentral:lncRNA from 1 species
AGUUAUGAAUAAAGCCGCUGUAAACAUCCACGUGCAGGUUUUUGUGUGGACAUAAGUUUUCAGCUCCUUUGCGUAAAUACCAAGGAGCACAACUGCUGGGUCCUUGGUAAGAGUAUGCUUAGUUUUGUGAGCAGCCGCCAAACUGUCUUCCACAGUGGCUGGACCAUUUUGCAUUCCCACCAGCAAUGAACAAGAGUUCCUGCUGCUCCUCAUCCUCACUCGCAUUUGGUGGUGUCAGUGGUCUGGAUUUUGGCCAGUCUAAAAAACUUUUGAACCCAGAUGUUUUGGCUCUAAAUCCAGUGAACCUUCUAGUGGGAUAAUAAUGCGUAUCUAAUAGGACCAGUGUGAAGGUGAAAUGACAUCACACAUGUAUUAGGAAAAGGAGAAUAUCUAAGCUUUGGCACGUGCCUGGCGCUGUGCUAAGUGACAGGUGGACUUCAUCCUCACAAUAACCUCGGGACUCAGGUGCUGUUACUAUCUCCAUUUUGCAGAUAAAGACAGCAGCUCAGCGAGAUUAACUGCUGUGCCCAAGGAUGUGUAGGGAGUGGCAGAGCCAGAUUGAAACCCAAAGCUGCCUGACUCUGGGGCACACAGCAGGAUCAGUUUCCAUUCAUUGGAGCAAAGGAUCUACUGUGAUGCCAGGGUCUCCAUCAGGUGGCCUGUGGUUGUCCUCCUUGCAGCUUUUGUUAUAAGACCCUGCGGUCAGCUCGCCAGCACACCCCGGCAGAGCCCCGAGUCCGUGCGUGCGGAGAAUACGGAAGCCCAGAGCAUCACCCUCCUCACAGCCUCAGCACGCGCUCUGAAUCCUCAUAUCAUCAAUAACAUUGAUACCAACUAAUUUAAACCCACUGAACCAGUGAACUGGGGCUGCAGAUGUGUUUAUGAGCAGGAUACUAAGUAGCUAUUUUAACUAAGUGGAACAUUUCUUGCUUCAAUUAAUGAAAAGGUAGCAACUCUGAGGAAAUAUUAGGGGCAUUAAGUUUUAUAUUGGCGCCAUUUAUUAUAUAUGAUUUUUAACACUUUUAAUCACUUUAUCCAUGUUGACAGCUACUGAGAGAAAAAGAGCUUUCCACGGUGAGUGUGACCCAGGAAUUACUGUCAAGCUGAGACAGAUGAUCAUUGACCCCUGAGUUGCCUUGGUCUUUUGAGGAAAUAGUGAGGAUUUUAUUAGUUUUAUUAAUGGCACUCAGGGAGAUCAAGUUAUUGAUUAGCAAAGAAUGAGUCCUUAACACGCACAUUUCUUGGAAAGGGUAAACGAAGUAGAAGGGAAUUAACAUUUAUUCAGCACCUACUGUGUGCCAGGUGUGUGCUGGGCUAUCUACAUACUGAAUUAAAUCUCCAAGCAGUCCUGUGAGGCUGGCUACAGCGAUGUCCGUUACACAGAGGAGGAAAUGGAAAGACUGAGAUACUUGCUCAUUCAGUAAAACUUUUGCGCCCUGCUAGUUCACGACGGGGCUUAGAUCGUGAAU